rnacentral:misc_RNA from 1 species
AUAUUUUGAAUUAAGUAUAUUCAUAAUAUUUUUCAGACAAAGAGUUAAAAAAUAAAGGUUGAUGUUUGGUCGAUCUCCAUGAAGAAGAUCGACUGACAUUGCACACAAGGUGGAUAUGGAUUUAAAAAGUGCCAUAAAACACUUAUUAUGAAUGAUCCUUCCGCAGGUUCACCUACGGAAA